rnacentral:rRNA from 1 species
UACGGAGGGGGCUAGCGUUGUCCGGAAUUAUUGGGCGUAAAGGGCUCGUAGGCGGUUUGUCGCGUCGGGAGUGAAAACUCAGGGCUCAACCCUGAGCGUGCUUCCGAUACGGGCAGACUAGAGGUAUGCAGGGGAGAACGGAAUUCCUGGUGUAGCGGUGGAAUGCGCAGAUAUCAGGAGGAACACCGGUGGCGAAGGCGGUUCUCUGGGCAUGACCUGACGCUGAGGAGCGAAAGCAUGGGGAGCGAACAGG